AUCUACCCACUUGAAAGUGUUUCAUCUAGAAUUAACCUCUUCCGUGCCACCACACACAAGAAAAAAAAAGGCCCCACCCCAUUUAUUUUUGGCGUUAUGAAGGAGGAGUCCUUCUAGUUUACUCUUAAUUUUCCUUCCUUAUUUCCAUGCAUUCUUUUGUUUCUCGUGCCACUAGAUGAUACCUUCGGAUGUGUGGAUGUAGAAGAGAAGGAAGAGUCCUUCUUUGUGAAAGAACUC
rnacentral:lncRNA from 1 species